AAUGGUGGAGCCGCAGCGGAGCGGGGAGGCUGGUGCGGCAGUGAGGAUGAACGAUGGGGGCAGAAAGCGCGCACAUGGGCUCCUGGAGCUCCUGUUCAGGUGGGAUGGGGAGGGGGAGGAGGAGGAGAUUUUAAAAAAAAAGUAUUCCGACCUCCAGAAGUUUGAAAGUGAAAGAAAAUGUGUCAGGUCAUGUUGGUGUUCAGAGCGCGCCUCGUAAAUGCUUGGCUGAUUUAAAAAGAGAGAGAGAGACAGAGAGAGAGAGAGAAAGGGGGGGAAAAAGAAAAAGAAAAAACAAAAAGAGAGAGCAAAGACAUGCAAAAGUUGCGCCUGGCCGCCAGUGACUCGGGUAAAGGAUCUCAUGCGUUUCGCCGAGCAUCAUAACAGCAAGAACUGGAAGGAGGACAAUGAAAAGAGGAACUGCUGACUUGCGUUUCCAGUGUUCUCUGGCGACUUUCUGAUGAAGAGGAGGAUGAAGGGAGACAAACUGGGCAGAGACACGAUGAGGAGGCAGUUUCACCGCAGCUCUUCAAGGCUUGUUUCCACUGCCUUCGCCCAUCUUGACGAGAGCUGGGGAAACCACCUCGUCUGAGCUUAUCAGCUGCUGAGUCGGUGAGAACAUGGUCAUAAGAUGAGGAGGCUGGCGACCGCAGGCUGUGGCGCUGGGUGUCGUGGUUAGCAGCUGCCGGUCCUCGGUGACCUGAACUGUGCUGCGGAAUUGCCUGUGGGAAUAAUCGGAUGAAGUGUUCAAAGGAAGAACAAAGCGGAGAGGUUUGAGCGGCAGUAGGCAAGACUUUAAUCGAUGCAUUGCAUCAGAUGACCAUAAAAACACCAGCUGGAGAUUAAUGCUGUUAACUUCCCCCGGAGCCUGAGUUUGUUUGGCUUGUUAACGGGUUUUUGAGCAGCUCUGCGGCUGUUUUUUUUUUUUUCCUUUCAUUAUGUUUUUUUUUUUUUUUUUUUGGUCUUUCACAACAAUCUAAACACUCAGUCGUGCUGACUCUGUUAAAAUCCCAUCAUGUUUAGAAACACGACUAACAAAACGCAUCCAGCAGGUUGUCCACUCGUUGAACUCGGUCCGUCGCCGACGAGAACAAAACAAACAUCCACCGCCCGUUUCUGUUGCUCACUUUCACUUGAGCAAGGGGAGUGAUGUGGAUCCGGCGACACACAAAAUAAUUGUUUUGAGCAAAAUCUCCCAUCGUGCAUCUGUGCGUCUUGUCCUGUACUACUUCACAACAUUGGAGAAUGAAAGAAAAAGAGAUUUCUGACUCUGUUCAACCUCUAGCUUGUUCAGUGUACUCUACUCUUUUUUUGAAGUCACUGACACAUUUUGUACAGGUUUUAGUUUUUGGGAAGGUCAAUUUUUGUUUUUGUUUCUGUGGGUUUUAGGUCAUUGAAAAAAAUGAAAAAAUUUGGUAUUUCGGAGAAGACAUGCACUGCAAAAACACAAAAUGUUGCCAAGUAAUUGGCAAGAUUUUCACUAGCUCCUAGUAAAAACACCUGAGUACACUAGAAAUGAUAAAACACUGACAUACAGUAACUUUUCAGCAAGAUGUACUAGCUUGUUUUAAGUCAACAAUUUAUUGAUUAAUUUUUUUUUUUAAUCACUAGAUCCAUAUUACAAGUGAAAUAAUCUGCCAAUGGAACCGGUACUGUUUCAUCAAUAUUAAGGAAUUACUGAUUUAAAACAAGCUCAUCUUUAUUGCUGAACAAUUACUUGUAAGUUAGUUUUCUCCUGUUUACUUUGAUAUUUGCAGUAGGAACUGGACCGAGACUCCUUGGUAAGAUUUUGUGUUUUUGCAGAGUGAUGCAAUAUACUAAAACAAAAACUCUUGUCCCUCUUGGAGUGAGACAGCUUCACACCAUCACACAUCCUGUGUUGUAUUUAAGAAGUGCUUUAUUUAUUUAUUUUUAAAUUUUUUUACAUGUUCAUCCCUUGUUUGACACCAGACCGACCUGUUGGUUGCCAAAAGGUUUCUUUGUCUCAUCUGACCACAUAAUUGCAGUGAGUCUUUCUAAAGUUUCACAAACUCCACAUGUUUACCUUUGUGAUGGUAGGAUAUAAAAAGGCUUUUAUUUUCUGGCCUGGAUCCAGAGCAACCAGCUGGCAUGAGAGCAACUUGGUGAACCCGAUAAGUUGCUCCUGGCUGCAGUUCAAAACCGUCUGAUGUGGAGAUUGUCUUCUAUUGUACACGGGAUCAAAUAAAGUGACUCAGAGCAAUGAGGCAUUUAUAAGCCAAAGAAAUGGGCUGUCAUGGUUCCCUAAUUAAAAUCUCAUUGAAAUUCUGAUCAAAAGUACAAUUUAUAAAAGAAAGCAUCCUUUAUUGGGGAUUGUUGAAAGUCCUAAAAACAAUUUGAUAAUUUUCUAUGUGGGGGAUUUUGCCCCCCAUUGCAAAUAUGUAAUCAAAAUAAAGGUUACAUUGUUUUAAAUGUUGUGUAAUUUUGCUUCAAAGACAGAGUUUAUUUUUUAUAGGCUAUCAAUUAUUUUCACCUGAGGUGGCAGACUCUGAUAAAGAGGACAGCAGAUGCCUGCUUGACCAAUAGUUUUUGAACAAAAACAAAUAGUGCAUGGACAGGCAACUAACUCUUAACUGUAUUUUUAAAAUAAAUGAUCUCGACAUCAGAUAAAAGUGGCAGAGACAAAUCUGCCCACGUCAACUUUUAGCUGACAAGCUGGGAAAUGUUAAUGUCUGAUUUGGCCUUCAGAUGACUUCCCUCUUUCACAAAAGUGCAGAUCUUGAACUUCAUAGCAUUCGAAUCACACCGUGUUUGGCCCUUUUAGAUGAGCUUUUCUAGCAACUCCAUUAAAAACAAGCUGAUUUAUGUCCUGAAUGUAAAGCUGCACAACUCCAAGACACAAUAAGAGGAUGUGUGCAGUUCAGUGUUUACGCGACCCAACAUGUAAGUGUUUCUGUUUGCCGGUCCGUCUCGGACCUUUAUUUUUGUAUUUAAUGCCUUUUGCAAUCAUUUUCCACCAAUAUUUAACCAAAAAUAAAUGGUUUCCUUUAA